rnacentral:rRNA from 1 species
UAGGGAAUCUUCCGCAAUGGGCGAAAGCCUGACGGAGCAACGCCGCGUGAGUGAAGAAGGAUUUCGGUUCGUAAAGCUCUGUUGUUAGGGAAGAAUGAUUGUGUAGUAACUAUACACAGUAGAGACGGUACCUAACCAGAAAGCCACGGCUAACUACGUGCCAGCAGCCGCGGUAAUACGUAGGUGGCAAGCGUUGUCCGGAAUUAUUGGGCGUAAAGCGCGCGCAGGUGGUUUAAUAAGUCUGAUGUGAAAGCCCACGGCUCAACCGUGGAGGGUCAUUGGAAACUGUUAAACUUGAGUGGGGAGAGAAAAGUGGAAUUCCUAAUGUAACGGGGAAUGCGUAAAGAUUAAAAAGAAAAGACGANGNGAACACCAGUGGCGAAGGCGGCUUUUUGGCCUGUAACUGACACUGAGGCGCGAAAGCGUGNGGAGCAGACAGGAUUANAUACCCUGGUAGUCCACGCCGUAACGAUGAGUGCUAAGUGUUGGCCUCAUAANANAUCAGUGCUGCAGCUAACGCUCUAANCACUCCGCCUGGNGAGUACNACCGCAAGGUUG